AAGCCUUGGAGCCAGAUUCUAAGAAAGCAAAAUGACAGCAACAACUGGGGACAAUCUGGACUCAGCCUGGGUGCCCAUGCUAGGCAGUGAUGUAGAACCAGAGAAGCCUCAUUUUAAAAUCUGUUUCACAGCCAGAAAUUGCCUGUUCAGUCUGUCUUCCCUGAUAGAACAUAAGCCUCUUGAAAGCAAGGACUGCAUUUCUCACUUUUAAAUCAUCGGCAUCUAGCACCAUGACUGCAGUAUAGUAAGAGCUUGGUAAAUAAUUGUUAACUCUUUAGGGUAAUAGAAAAGAAAAGUUCUCAGCUUCACAGCAAAAAUCCCUCUCAUUAAUCAAUGGAACUACCUAAUAUUAAUUCAUUAAUUCAUGUUCACUCAAUAAAUAUUUUGAACAGCUUA